UUCCGGUUGAUCCUGCCCGGACCCCACUGCUAUCGAGAUGGGACUAAAGUAUGCUAGUCGAACGAUCAGAACUAUGUCUGGAAGUGGCACACUGCUCAGUAACACGUAGCUAACCUACCUUAGGACGUGGAUACCCCCGAGAAAUUGGGGUUAAUCCGCGAUAGGUGUAAUGUCCUGGAAUGGUAUUACGCCUAAAGGUGUAUCAUACAUGUUUGAUAUACGCCUAAGGAUGGGGCUGCGGCCGAUCAGGCUGUUGGUGAGGUAAUGGCUCACCAAACCUUUGACCGGUACGGGCCAUGAGAGUGGUAGCCCGGAGAUGGACACUGAGACAAGGGUCCAGGCCCUAAGGGGCGCAGCAACCGCGAAACCUCCACAAUGCACUCACGUGCGAUGGGGCUAUCUCGAGUGCCACCUGAUGAAGGUGGCUUUUCCUAGGUCUUCAAAGCCUUGGGAAUAAGAGGGGGGCAAGACUGGUGUCAGCCGCCGCGGUAACACCAGCCCCUCGAGUGGUGGGGAUGAUUAUUUGGCCUAAAGCGUCCGUAGCCGGCCGAGCAAGUCUUCCGUUAAAUCCAGCGUCUCAAGCGUUGGACUGCGGGAGAUACUACACGGCUAGAGAGUGGGAGAGGUCAGCGGUAUUCUGGGGGUAGGGGCGAAAUCCUUUGAUCCCCGGAGGACCACCAGUGGCGAAGGCUGCUGACUAGAACACGUCUGACGGUCAGGGACGAAAGCUGGGGUAGCGAACCGGAUUAGAUACCCGGGUAGUCCCAGCCGUAAACGAUGCAUGCUAGGUGUUGGGUUGGCCACGAGCCACCCCAGUGCCGCAGGGAAGCCGUUAAGCAUGCCGCCUGG
rnacentral:rRNA from 1 species